rnacentral:rRNA from 1 species
AUAUCAAUAAGCGGAGGAAAAGAAACUAACAAGGAUUCCCCUAGUAACGGCGAGUGAAGCGGGAAGAGCUCAAAUUUGUAAUCUGGCACUUUCAGUGUCCGAGUUGUAAUCUCGAGAAGUGUUUUCCGCGCUAGACUGCAUACAAGUCUGUUGGAAUACAGCGUCAUAGUGGUGAGAACCCCGUACCUGAUGCAGAUGCCUAGUGCUUUGUGAUACACUUUCGAAGAGUCGAGUUGUUUGGGAAUGCAGCUCAAAUUGGGUGGUAAAUUCCAUCUAAAGCUAAAUAUUGGCGAGAGACCGAUAGCGAACAAGUACCGUGAGGGAAAGAUGAAAAGCACUUUGGAAAGAGAGUUAACAGUACGUGAAAUUGUUGGAAGGGAAACGCUUGAAGUCAGACUUGCUAUCUGGAAUUCAGCCGCAAGGCGUAUUUUUCAGUUCGCAGGCCAGCAUCAGUUUUUGGGGGUGGAAAAGGGUAAUUGGAAUGUGGCAACUCCGGUUGUGUUAUAGCCUUUUACUGGAUUCACCUUUGGGGACUGAGGAACGCAGUGUGCUUUUUGCAAGGCCCUCGGGCUUAUCACACUUAGGAUGCUGGUGGAAUGGCUUUAAACGA